GAUCAUGGCUCAGGGUGAACGCUAGCUACAGGCUUAACACAUGCAAGUCGAGGGGCAGCGGGGAGUAGCAAUACUCUGCCGGCGACCGGCGCACGGGUGAGUAACGCGUAUGCAACUUGCCUAUCAGAGGAGAAUAGCUCAUCGAAAGAUGAAUUAAUGCUCCAUGAAACAGGGUCCCGCAUGGGAAUAUUUGUUAAAGAUUCAUCGCUGAUAGAUAGG
rnacentral:rRNA from 1 species